rnacentral:tRNA from 1 species
ACCUUUUUAGUAUAAAAAAGUACACCUGUCUUCCAAACAGUAAGAUUAUUAAAAAUAAAAAAGGUA